GCCGAAUUUAUAGACGACAAAGGCGCGGCCGGACAAGGUGUUGAGGUCGACUGGCACGAGAUCGUCAUCACCUCCGUACAGGGUGUCAUCCUUGAUGUCGAUGUAACCUUCUCCGGGAGCUAAGGACAAAAAUAGGGGAGAUAAAUUAUGUUUGGAGCGUCGGAGAACCAGGAUCAUAAA